UACGUAGGCACCAAGCGUUGUCCGGAUUUAUUGGGCGUAAAGAGCUCGUAGGCGGUUCAGUAAGUCAGGUGUGAAAUCUUUGGGCUUAACCCAAAGCGUGCACUUGAUACUGCUGUGACUUGAGUUCGGUAGGGGAGUGGGGAAUUCCUAGUGUAGCGGUGAAAUGCGCAGAUAUUAGGAGGAACACCGGUGGCGAAGGCGGGUCUCUGGGCCGAUACUGACGCUGAGGAGCGAAAGCGUGGGGAGCGAACAGG
rnacentral:rRNA from 1 species